AUUGAACGCUGGCGGCAGGCCUAACACAUGCAAGUCGAGCGAGUGGCGGACGGGUGAGUAAUGUAUGGGGAACUGCCUGAUGGAGGGGGAUAACUACUGGAAACGGUAGCUAAUACCGCAUACCAUCGGAUGAGCCCAUAUGGGAUUAGCUAGUAGGUGGGGUAACGGCUCACCUAGGCGACGAUCCCUAGCUGGUCUGAGAGGAUGACCAGCCACACUGGAACGGAGACACGGCCCAGACUCCUACGGGAGGCAGCAGUGGGGAAUAUUGCACAAUGGGCUCAAGCCUGAUGCAGCCAUGCCGCGUGUAUGAAGAAGGCCGUCGGGUUGUAAAGUACUUUCAGCCGGGAGGCGUUACCCACAGAAGAAGCACCGGCUAACUCCGUGCCAGCAGCCGCGGUAAUUC
rnacentral:rRNA from 1 species